GGAUAGCUCAGUCGGUAGAGCAUGAGACUCUUAAUCUCAGGCUCAUGGACUUGAGCCCCACCUUAGGCA